rnacentral:rRNA from 1 species
AUUGAACGCUGGCGGCAUGCUUUACACAUGCAAGUCGAGCGGCAGCGCGGGGGGCAACCCUGGCGGCGAGCGGCGAACGGGUGAGUAAUGCAUCGGAACGUACCCUGGAGUGGGGGAUAACGCCGCGAAAGCGGCGCUAAUACCGCAUAUGUUCUGAGGAGGAAAGUGGGGGACCGCAAGGCCUCACGCUCUGGGAGCGGCCGAUGUCCGAUUAGCUAGUUGGUGGGGUAAAGGCUUACCAAGGCGACGAUCGGUAGCUGGUCUGAGAGGAUGAUCAGCCACACUGGGACUGAGACACGGCCCAGACUCCUACGGGAGGCAGCAGUGGGGAAUUUUGGACAAUGGGGGGCAACCCUGAUCCAGCCAUGCCGCGUGAGUGAAGAAGGCCUUC